CAAGGUCACUAGGUGAGGGGGGAGGGGAGGAAGGCUAUUUCUUUGUUGUUGGAGCCAGUGGGAUGCUGUGGCCAUCAGGCCACGUGUCCCACGUUUGUCAGGCCCCUAACAUUCACCAGGCACUGAGCAAUGCUGAGUGCAGCUGGGUGUGGGGCACACGUCUAUAAUCCCAGCACUCCGGAGGCUGAGGCAGGAGGAUUGCCACGAAUUCUCCUCCCAGAACACAGAGAAUUCCACAUGUCCCUACUCUGAAAGAUCUUCAGAAUGGUAGGAAACUAACAUUUAGCCUGUGCUGCACCGUUGAGAGCAAAGAAGAGGGACCUCUUGAUGCCGUCUUGGUCAGGAAUGAGGCUGAGAAAGAAUAACCCCAAGACUGAAUGUUGACGGAUCACUAGGAAUUUUCCAGGCAAAAGUUGGGAAAAACAGUGCAGAAGAAAACCACUUGACGGAAGUUCUGGAGACUGGAUGUUGUAAAAGAUUCUCCUGAGACCUUCUUCCUCAUUAUCAAACCCUGAAGCUGUUGUAUCACCUCAUCAGGCAAGACAGAGCCAAUGGAUUACAAAGAGGAAUUUCAAAAUCAGACACACAAGCCUAAACAUUGCAUGAUUUUUCUUAUACAAGAAACCCAAAAUAUAAAUAAAGAGCAAACUAAAAGCUAGAUAGUAGGGAGAUAAAUCCUUCUCAAAUGGGAAGGGGAUCAAGAGAUGGAGAGAAGGGGAGGGAGCAAAGGGAAAAGGGAUGAAAAAGGAAUUCAGAUGUGUUAUGUACAUGCAUUAACUCCACACAAGGAAUGUAAACAUGAUGUAUUGCAAACAUGUAUAAAUAAAUAAGUAAAAGGCAUUUCAUCAAAGCUCUAGCUUUGUCAACCUGAAACCUAUGCAAUUUGAGAAGCUCUUUUGAACACAAAAGCACAAGGGUUGUUCUGGCAACUUUGAAAGGAGCUGAGGCAAAGUAUGGGCCUAAGCCUGACUCUCUGGCUUCACUGGUGUGUGGUCCCCCUCCCCCCACCCUGGCUUCUCUACCUCACGUAAGCUUGAUUCUUGGUUCAAUUUUCUUCUUUUGCCUGAACUCCCCAUUCUCCAUACAGUGUCAGAUAAUCCCACAGAGUACAUCAAACCUAAUGUGGUUUUCUCCUGUAAACAGCUACUUAAGAUACUAUGCC
rnacentral:lncRNA from 1 species